rnacentral:rRNA from 1 species
UUGAUCCUGGCUCAGGACGAACGCUGGCGGCGUGCCCUNNCAUGCAAGUCGAGCGGACAGGUGGGAGCUUGCUCCUGAUGUUAGCGGCGGACGGUGAGUAACACGUGGGUAACCUGCCUGUAAGACUGAUAAUCCGAAACCGGGGCUAAUACGGAUGGUUGUUUGAACCGCAUGGUUCAAACAUAAAGGUGGCUUCGGCUACCACUUCAGGUGGACCCGCGGCGCAUUAGCUGGUUGGUGAGGUAACGGCUCACCAAGGCAACGAUGCGUAGCCGACCUGAGAGGUGAUCGGCCACACUGGGACUGAGACACGGCCCAGACUCACGGGAGGCAGCAGUAGGGAAUCUUCGCAAUGGACGAAAGUCUGACGGAGCAACGCCGCGUGAGUGAUGAAGGUUUUCGGACGUAAAGCUCUGUUGUUAGGGAAGAACAAGUACCGUUCGAACAGGGCGGUACCUGANUACCUAACCAGAAAGCCACGGCUAACCGUGCAGCCGCGGUAAUACGUAGGUGCAAGCGUCGGUAUUGGGCGUAAAGGCUCGCAGGCGGUUUCUUAAGUCUGAUGAAAGCCCCGGCUCAACCGGAGGGNGCUGAAAACUGAGGCAGAAGUGAGAGGAAUUCCACGUAGCGGUGAAAUGCGCAGAGAUGUGGAGGAACACCAGUGGCGAAGGCGACUCUGGUCUGUAACUGACGCGAGGAGCGAAAGCGNGGAGCGAACAGGAUUAGAUACCCUGGUAGUCCACGCCGUAACGAUGGUGCUAAGGGUUUCCGCCCCUUAGUGCUGCAGCUAACGCAUUAAGCACCCGCCUGGGAGUACGGUGCAAGACUGAAACCAAAAGUGACUGACGNGCACAAGCGGUGGAGUGGUUUACCUGAAGCAACGCGAAGAACCUUACCAGGUCUUGACAUCCUCUGACAAUCCUAAGAUAGGACGUCCCUUCGGUCAGAGUGACAGGUGGUGCAUGGUUGUCGUCAGCUGUGUCGUGAGAUGUUAGUCCGCAACGAGCGCAACCCUUGAUCUUAGUUGCCAGCAUUCAGUUGGCACUCUAAGGUGACUGCCGGUGACAAACCGGAGGAAGGUGGGAUGACGUCAANCAUCAUGCCCUUAUGACCUGGGCUACACGUGUACAAUGGACAGAACAAAGGGCGAAAACCGCGAGGUUAGCCAAUCCCGCAAAUCUGUUCUCAGUUCGGAUCGCAGUCUGCAACUCGACUGCGUGAAGCUGGAAUCGCUAGUAAUCGCGGAUCAGCAUGCCGCGGUGAAUACGUUCUCGGGCCUUGUACACACCGCCCGUCACACCGAGUUUGUAACACCCGAAGUCGGUGAGGUAACCUUUAGGAGCCAGCCGCCGAAGGUGGACAGAUGAUUGGGGUGAAGUCGUAACAAGGUAGCCGUAUCGGGAGGUGCGGCUG